rnacentral:misc_RNA from 1 species
UCGAGUCAGGGUCUUUUAGGCCCGAAACUCUCAACCCUUUGUUUAACUACCACGUUGCUUUGACGGACCCGUCUUUGCGGACCGCGGGAGGUUGGUCUUCUCGCCAGUGCCCGUCAGUAGCCCUUUUAAAUUCGUUACAAAAUUUGUCGUCUAAGUAUCAAAAACAAUCGUUAAA